CCUACGGGUGGCAGCAGUGAGGAAUAUUGGUCAAUGGCCGGAAGGCUGAACCAGCCAUGCCGCGUGAAGGUCAGUGCCCUAUGGGCGUUAAACUUCUUUUGUGCGGGAGCAAUAAUGGUCACGUGUGGCCAGACGAGAGUACCGUACGAAUAAGCAUCGGCUAACUCCGUGCCAGCAGCCGCGGUAAUACGGGGGAUGCAAGCGUUAUCCGGAGUUAUUGGGUUUAAAGGGUGCGUAGGCUGGGAGGUAAGUCAGCGGUGAAAUGCCCCCGCUCAACGGGGUGAAGUGCCAUUGAUACUGCCUGGCUGGAAUGCGGAUGCCGUGGGAGGAAUGUGUGGUGUAGCGGUGAAAUGCAUAGAUAUCACGCAGAACACCGAUUGUGAAGGCAUCUCACGAAUCCGCGAUUGACGCUGAUGCACGAAAGCGUGGGUAUCAAACAGGAUUAGAUACCCCUGUAGUC
rnacentral:rRNA from 1 species